GCCACGUUUGAAGAGUUGGCAGAGCUGUGGCUGGGUGCGGUGGGGGGCGGACUGUGGCGAAUGAGGGCUUACCUGGACUCUGGAUCUCGGAGCUGAAUGGUACCGAGUGGAACGGAACAGAGCGGAGCGCAUCGCAUUGGAAAGGAAUGGGAGGAAGAGCCUCGACCCAAAAGCAAUGUCAGGCAACGUCAAGACAAGCCAACUCAGCAAGGGAUUAUCUGAGACAGCUGCAUGGAAAGCGUUGACGUGCCGCAGAGAUUGGGUGGAUACAGUGGCUAGAGGGGGUACUGUGGGCCAGGUCUAGCUAGUUUGUGUGUUGCAAAAAUGUACUGUAAAAUACAAUUUCAUUUCCCGUUUUAUAGCUCAUCUCCAACAACAUUUAGUAAGCCGCCGCUAUGUUGGCUGCGUCGUCGUCGCCUGCGUCUAUGGGAAAACAAUUUUUAUUGCAUUUUCGCUGGCAAUGAGUCUCGAGUCUCUGAGUUCCU
rnacentral:lncRNA from 1 species